CACAAAUUUCUAACAAGUCAGCUGUUACAGGGUGAAUUUUAUCAGCAACAACACUUACUCAGAAGCUGUGCAUAUCCGUAGCAGCAUCAUCAAGGUCCUCUCUGUUGCAAAUUGAAUGGUUGGGAUUUGGAUGAAGAGUUCAUAUCUUAAUAAAAAAAAAUUAAAGAAGAUUAUGGGGAAAAUUCCUGUUUCCAACCAGAUCUAAUCUUUACUGUGCUACCCUCAGAAAAAAACCCCAGAAGUUCCUGUAAGAAGAUAAUGGAUCCUUUCAGAUGGAUAACUUUCAGGAGUUAAAUAUAAGACUAUUUUCAGAAAUGCUUGCAAGGGAACUGUUUUACUGCCCUGUGUUGCUUUUGUGCAGAGCAGCACCUGAAUUGCUUUCCUUGAGUCUGAUCAAGCUGUAUUAGAAAGGGUUUAGUGGGAAUGGAAGAGCUAACACAGAUGAUUACAGCAAUUGGGAAAAACUUCCCCA